UCCGGUUGAUCCCGCCGGACCUGACUGCUAUCGGAUUGAUACUAAGCCAUGCGAGUCAUUGUANCAAUGCAAGGCAGACGGCUCAGUAACGCGUAGUCAACCUACCCUAUGGACGGGAAUAAUCUCGGGAAACUGAGGCUAAUUCCAGAUAGAACACUAUGCCUGGAACGGUUUGUGUUCCAAACGAUUUAUCGCCAUAGGAUGGGACUGCGGCCUAUCAGUUUGUUGGUGAGGUAAUGGCCCACCAAGACUAUUACAGGUACGGGCUCUGAGAGGAGUAGCCCGGAGAUGGGUACUGAGACACGGACCCAGGCCCUAUGGGGCGCACCAGGCGAGAAAACUUUGCAAUGUGCGAAAGCACGACAAGGUUAAUCCNAGUGGUUCCUUGCUAAAGGAACCUUUUUGACGGUCCUAAAAACACCGUUGAAUAACGGGUGGGCAAGUUCUGGUGUCNGCCGCCCGGUAAAACCAACACCUCAAGUGGUCAAGAUGAUUAUUGGGCCUAAAACAUCCGUAGCCGGCUCUGUUAGUUUUCGGUUAAAUCUGUACGGCUCAACGGUACAGGCUGCCGGGAAUACUUACAGAGCUAGGGAGUGGGAGAGGUAGACGGUACUUGAUAGGAAGGGGUAAAAUCCUUUGAUCUAUUGAUGNCCACCUGUGGCGAAGGCGGUCUACUAGAACACGUCCGGACGGUGAGGGAUGAAAGCUGGGGGAGCAAACCGGAUUAGAUACCCGGGUAGUCCCAGCUGUAAACCAUGCAAACUCAAUGAUGCACUGGCUUGAAGCCAAUGCAGUGUUGCAGGGAAGCCGUUAAGUUUGCCGCCUGGGAAGUACGUACGCAAGUAUGAAACUUAAAGGAAUUGGCGGGGGAGCACCACAAGGGGUGAAGCCUGCGGUUCUAUUGGAUUCAACGCCGG
rnacentral:rRNA from 1 species